UGAAAUGCCCGCCAGUUCCUUUAAACAUUCCGUGUCAAAUGCAGCAAUGAUACGACAGUACACAAAAUUUAUAUAUGAUUUUGUGAAAAAGGGCUCUCUACUUAUUGGACAACUGCCGACAUAUCCUACCGGGUAUACUAAAAUUUACAGAACUUUGGAGUUCCAGCCGGGAACUUUUCUUGCCAAUGAUACCUAUGAUAUGUGGAAGCGUCUGUUUUUGUAUGUAGAAUGAUUACAAACAAUUAAAUAUAAGAAGAAAAAAUAAAUAAAAAUGCUGAAGUUACUUUUUACGACUGCUCGUUCAACUUUUAAAAUAAAAUAGUAUGCAUAAAUUUUA